AAGUCGUAACAAGGUUUCCGUAGGUGAACCUGCGGAAGGAUCAUUAUCACGUAUCCACGUAUAACCAUUGUGAACCGUACUUUCCCUUUGUCGAGAGUGAGGUAGUGAGACUGUUAACACAUGAACUAUUUCUUUAUUGUGAUUUGUAGUUCGUUUUCAGUUUCCAUGUUUAACAUACUCGUUCACUUCAAAGUGUAUUAAAAUCACACAAAUUGUAUUAACAACUUAAACCCAACUUUAUAAACUUUGACUUAACUUUUUCUUACCCUUAGGGGAAGAAAUUCAUUACGAAACAUAAGA
rnacentral:misc_RNA from 1 species